CACGCGUCCUGACACGUACCUGUUAAGAACUGCACUCCACCUCUACAUGUACCUACAGUGCAGCCCACUGUCUGAAAUUACACUAAACGGGCCUUUUUUGCUAAGCGCGUCCACGCGUACGCGUUCACGAUUGGCAGCUCCACGUCGACAUUCUUCCAGCUGCAGAGUGUUGUGCACGGAGCGCAGAGAAGCGAAGGGACCUCGGUGUAAAAGGACCUGACUAACAUAUCGCGGAAUGUCCGAAGAAGGUUGAUGACUGCACAAUUAACAGAUAAAAUGCGCGUCGUGUCCGUAGCAGUUAAAUUGUAAUAUGUUCAGAACGCAUUUUUGUUGUUGUAUUUUAUGGUCUCUUUCCUCUCGUGUUGGACUGCAGCUGGCCACUUAACUGCUGUCUCACUUCGACCAGGUUGGUCACUGAUAGGAUGGCGAGAAGGUUCACCGUGGAAGGACACGUGGUCGUGCUGUGGCUUUCCAAGUAAAGUUCUGUAAUACACUUAGACUCUAAUUGUUUGCAGUCAGUGCAUUACAGAACUUUGUUUUGGGAGUUAAUGCUCUUGGCUGAUGGAAAAUAACACCUCUGGAGGGACACCACCAGGUUUCACUCCUGUCAUGGGUUUUCAUCCACUUGUCCUUCUACUAAAAAGACUGCAUUGAAAUAAACCUGUUAAAAACAUUGUAUUUGGUAUCAUGAUAAUUUGUUUCAUUGUUCCCCAUAACAAAGAACUGAAUUUGUGUUCACUAUAACCUGGUCAACAGAAGUUACAGUGAUAAGAUGUGCAUUUAGGAUAGAGUUGUUUAGGGCUUUUAUUUCAGCAUACAUUCUGUGUGCAAAGUCCAUUGUACUUGAAUGAAACAUUUGGUUCAGCUUUGUAUGGCAACACAGAAUGUACAGUGGUGGAGAGUAACAGAGUAACAGCAUUUCCCAGCUACAGGUACGGUAACACAUGGAAACCUGUGAAUUGUUCCCAGUGCCUCGCCUAUAUCUUUGUCACAUGAUGCAGGAGAGGUGGGGCGGAGGCAAACCUGAACAGCUGGUCUUGACAUGGGAUAUUCAGCCUGUCAAUUUAUGUUUACUGAAGAAUUUAGAAAGUUCACCUCUUCCUCUGCAUUAAUUAUGAAGCCAGGUUAUCAAGCACUAGAGUACCUAACCAUCCAAAAUAGCAUGCUUGAUAAAUAUGUGAAUGAUUUCAUGAUUACAGGUGUUCCUCCCAAUUAGAAGAAUUGUUUUUUGCUUUAUUCUUUAUGAUUGCAUACUGGGUUUCAUAAUAGGGGAAAAAUAGAGGGAUAUAAAUUUGUAUAAAAAUAAAAAUGUCUUUAUUUUAAAAAAGCCUGAACCAUUCACAGAAACACUGUGUUUUGGAAGCAGUAAACAUGUAUGUAUUGUCAGAAAACAGUGAAUUCUGGCAACAUUAAAUAAAAUGAAGCCCUAUAUAUAUUUUUGGUCAGGCCUCAUUUUAAAAUUGUUAAAAUUCAGGCUCCCCCAUGAAAUUUUGAGCGUCAAACACUUAAUUUCCUGCAUUCUGGUGAAUUUUUAUGCACCAAUUUGUGACUUUUCUGCAUAAAUUUAUGGUGGAAAUGUCUUUAUUUAUGUAAAGGAAAACACAAAAUUCCGUUUUUAUUGGGGGGAACAAAUGCAUGUGUUCUACGCCUGUGUACUUAGUAUAUAAUGGAUCGAUGACAGUGUGAUGUGAACAGAACCAAAUGCUAAUAUUUGGAACUUCAAAAAUAUAAAUCUUUCUGUCUUCAGUUAGUUUAUGGCCUGACCAUAAAUGUUGUGUGGUAAUGAUGUAAGUCGUAAUCAUGCAUGAUAACUCAUGAGUGCAAAGAAAGGAGAGCACUAUUGUAGCAUGGUUAUGUACCCAUUUCAGCAUUAAAUUAAAAAAACAAACAAA